GCGGCCGGGGCAGCGCGGGCCAGAGGCGCGGCGUGCGGAGCCCUCGGCUGCCCGGCGGAGCGCGGCGGCGGGCUGGCGGGAAGGCGCGGGCUUUGCGCUGCGCCGGGGACUCUGAACCCGAGUCCCGGGCUUUGUCUCCUGCGCUGCUUUCGUGGUGACGGUCAGGGGGCGCCCGGUCGGCGAAGGGCGCGGGCCGGACGCCGCGGGGCUUGGUCCCUGGCCCGGACGCUGCGCUCUGAAGGGAAGGCGCGGACAAAAAAAGACCAAAUGGCAAAGCAACCUUCUGAUGUAAGUUCUGAGUGUGACCGAGAAGGUAGACAAUUGCAGCCUGCGGAGAGGCCUCCCCAGCUCAGACCUGGGGCCCCUACCUCCCUACAGACAGAGCCACAAGGUAAUCCUGAAGGCAAUCACGGAGGUGAAGGGGACAGCUGCCCCCACGGCAGCCCUCAGGGCCCGCUGGCCCCACCUGCCAGCCCUGGCCC
rnacentral:lncRNA from 1 species